CAAUAGCGUAUAUUAAAGUUGUUGCAGUUAAAAAGCUCGUAGUCGGAUUUUGGCAUCACGCCGAACUGUCUGCCGAUUGGUAAGUACGGUUUGGCGGGUGCUUCCUUCCGGAGGCUCGUUCCCUUCUUCAUUGAAGGGUUCGUUGGUUCCGGGUCUUUUACUUUGAGAAAAUUAGAGUGUUCAAAGCAGGCCUAUGCUCUGAAUAGGUUAGCAUGGAAUAAUAGAAUAGGACUUUGGUUCUAUUUUGUUGGUUUCUAGGACCGAAGUAAUGAUUAAUAGGGACAGUUGGGGGUGCUAGUAUUGAGCGGCCAGAGGUGAAAUUCGGGGAUUCGCUCAAGACUAACUUAUGCGAAAGCAUUCACCAAGGAUGUCUUCUUUAAUCAAGAACGAAAGUUGGGGGAUCGAAGAUGAUUAGAUACCAU
rnacentral:rRNA from 1 species